UUACUGACAAUAUCUAAUGUUUCUAGUAAAUUUGUCAAACAAUUUAUACGGAUUGUUAGUAAAUAAAAUUAAAAAAAAAACCCGCGUAGAAAUAGAAAAGCCUAGAAAAUCACGUAAAUCGACUAUUAACUUCUACUAUUAAAUUAGCGUAUUAUUACUAUUGUUAAGAUAUUUCAUUAUUUCAUCUCUGACAAUACUUUCCAUGAUAUAGCAUAUAAUCAAUGUUAAUGAAAUUGGUCUGUAGUUAGCUGAUCAAGUCUGUCACCUUUCUUAUACAAUGCAUUAUAGUGUUAUAUUUGCAUGCAACCAUAAGUUUGAUAGAGUUGCACUAUUGAAUGAUUGAUUAAAAAUAAACUAUAAUGAUUUACAUAAAUUUUGUGAGCGUUCCUUCUACACUUCUGGAUGUACUUUAUCAACACUUGUUGAUUUAUUUGUGUUUAAUUAUUUUAAUUUUGUUUCAAUUAUUAAUUUCUCAAAUUUUGGAUAUGGACAGCUUAGAAAGGUGUUUUUUUCAAAUAAUGGAAUAUUAUUGCUAUUUUCAAUUAUGAAUACUGAACUGAAAAAUGUUUUUAAUGCAUUGCAUAUUGUUUUAUCAUCUGUUGUAACAUCACCAAUUGCAUCUCUAAUGGUUUUAAUAGUAUUUUUUAUUUUGGUUUAACUGAUUAUAUAAGAGUAUAUACAUUUAGUAUUUGAUUUUGAAUGUUUUACUAAAUUAUGUUCAUACUCCAUAAUUGCUUUUUUAAUAUCUUUUUUUAAUAUCUUAUUAAGAUUGUUGUAAUUUAUAACAUCAUCAAUAUUUUUAAAACCUGCAGCUUUGAUUUUGUACCAUAAGUUCCUUUUAACUUUAAUUUUAGGUCUUUUGUUAAACAUAAUGAUUUUAUCUUUCUAAUGUUUUGUUUGUUUUGUUAAAUUUAAGGGAUAAACAUUUUCAACCUUUUUUAUAAAUUGUUAACCAUCUUAAAUAGCUUUCAUCAAAGCCUAAGGUUUUAAACUCUUUUUCCCAGCUAUAAUUAUUAAAGUAUUUAUUUAACUCUUUAUAUUUACUUUUGUUGAACAGAUAUUUUGUUUGAUUGUCUUUGUUAUUGGUAACUUUAUCCAUUAAACGAUAUUUAAAAUUCAAUAUAUAAUGGCCAUGUUCUAAAUUAUCAAGUGUUAGUAUUGAAUUCAUUGCCAAUCAAUGAAGUAUUGCUAACAGAUGAACUCCUUUAGGUAUGUCACCUUGUUAAUAGUUUGUUGUAUGAUUAUGUUAAAUUUAUGAAAAGUUCAUUUCAACACAAGCUAAGGUAGAAGUAGUUUUAUUCACUGGUGACAUAAGUUUUAAGUAAAAUAAGUUUUUACCAUAUAUCAAAAUAUAUCCUGUUAUUUCUUUAUUUAUUAAUAAAAUAUUAUUUCUGUUAUUUCUUUAUUGAUAAAAUAUAACCUGGUAUGGUGAUAUUUUUUUUGCAUGAAUCUAUUUUUAACACAGUGCUCUGAGAAGGAAAACUCUUAUAAUGGAGGUAUUAUACUGUUGCUAUGAUAACAUUAUCUAUAUUGUAUUCAUAUUUUUAUUGAUAUAUAAUUUUUAGUGGCUGUAGAUUUUGGUAAUGCAUAUUUUGAUUCGAAAAAAACCUGAGGGCUGUUGAAUGCAACAAUAUAAACAAUGCCAAAGAUGCAAAUGGUGCAUAUCCUGAUUCAAAAUGCUCAAAAUAAUAAAAAUAAAAGAAAAAAAUCAAUACUAGAGGGAAUGGCGCCAAAGUAAUCGAGCCAAAGUAAUCGAACAAUGUACUUGUAAAUCAAGAAAUUGACAACUUAUAGCAUGUCAAAUCCAAUAUUAAUAGAGUCGAGAGUUGCAUUGAUUUCAAAAACAUUGAAAUUAAGAACUAUAGCGACUUUUAUUUUGUGUUUGAUCAUAAAGAUACUUCUGGAACUGAGAGUUCUGAUCUCUGAGGUUCCUAUGAGUGAUGAUAAUAAAGAUUUUAAUAAUAGAGUACUUUUAAUUAUAGAGAUAGCCAAAUGGAUUUUAAUGCACAGAAUAACUAGAAAUUCAAGUGACGAAUCGUUACCCAUUUACACCAGUAUGGUUACAAUGUUAAUUUACUAAAAUGCACAAAGAAAGUUUUAAAUACUCCUAGGAAUGUUUCAAGUGAGGUAAAAUCAUAUCAAGAACUUUAGCGGUAUUAUAGUUUUAAGUCAAAUACAAUUUUCUAGUUGUCAAUGUAGAUGGCCUACCUUUAUUCAAUUCAUCAAACACACAGGUUCGGCCUAUAUUAUGUAUGUUUGAAAAAGUGACACCAUUUAAUGUAACAUUAUUUGUUAGUGAUAACAAGCCAAAUUAUUGUGAUUUUUUAUAUAACUUUUUGCAUAAAUAUAUGUUAUUAUUGGCAAAUAGUUUUCAGUAUUAUUCAUAUAACUUCUUGAGAAAAAGUGCUGCAAAUGUGCCAAUAAAAUGUUAAAAAGAAUAGGCGUAACCAUUUUCAAAAAGAUUGAGUCACUUGAAGAAUUUUAUGAACUUGAAACCAUAUUAUUAGACAAGGAAGAGUACAGUAAAUUGCUUUGUUACCUCAGAAAAGCAGGUGGAAAAAAUGUUAAAGAAAAUAGAAAAAAAUGUUAUGGUCAGGAGCAUGUUGUUAUGGCCAAGUUGAAUACGAAAUGUAAAAUUCGUUGCGAUAUAAAGAAGGUAUCAUUCAAAGAUUUACAGUAUCCCAUAUUGUAUUUUAGAAAUCAUCCAGCUAAUGUACGAGUCUUCAACGGAAGCAAAAAUAAAAGAUCAAAUAGGAAGCAUUUUAAAGUUUUCUCCAUUUGUUAAUUGUAGCAAAAAACUUAUUUAGGAAGCAAGUGAUUGUUAAACAGUUGUUUAUUUUUGAGUUUUUUGUAAAUUUAUAAUA